AGUGGGUGAGGGAAGGCAAGAGCUGCAAGUCGGGUCUCCGCUCUCCGCCUGCCUGGAUCACCGACACCUGUCUCGGACUCUUUCACGCUUCUGUUAGUUGUGUUAAGUUACGCGGACACACACACACACACACACACACACACACACAGAUCCUCCUCACUCUUCGCUACUCCCGCUGGCGUUAAAAGAUUGUGAUUCAUGAUGGAUGAAACGAAGCAAGGCGACACAUGUGUUUUGUUCAAGCAACCCAUGUGAUCGCUAAGUAACCAGCUGGACUGAGUGGGCUACUGCAGCUUCCAGGACCAAGCAUGGAGGAUAGUGUGGUGGUGUCCGCCACGCCCCUGCUCCUCACGCAAGCCUCCACAGCCUCCCAGCGCUCCCUGCAGCAGCUCUCCGGCGAGGGACAGAGAUGCCUGCAGGACGUGUGGAAUACUACAGGAAUGGAAGAGGGUGUGUUUUGCAAUGCUUCCUGGGACACGCUGCACUGCUGGCCGCCCACCCCCGCUGGCCGCACCGUGAGGGAAUCGUGUGCCAACGUUUUCAGUGACGUGCCGGCCCUGCUAGACUAUCCUGAUGCCGUGGCGUACCGGGAGUGCGGCCUGACUGGGACGUGGCUCCUGGAGGGCUGGACCAACUAUUCACAGUGUCUCAGCGUCAUAGAGCAACAGGCGGGUCCUUCACACGUCCUGGAGGCGGUGCGUUACAUCACCUUCAUCGGCGGCCUGCUCUCUCUCUUCACUCUCACUGCCACCAUCUUCAUCUUCUCCUACUACAGGGCCUUGGAGUGUGACCGCUUGAGGGUACACAGGAACCUGGUAGCGGCGCUCAUCAUAAGGUUCCUGGUGAUGCUGGUGCUGACGGAGCCCUUCGUGUCCCGCCGCUCCUCCUACACCUACAGGGACGUGGAUUGGCUGUGCAAGACGCUGUUGGCCCUCAGGAUGUACGCCCAGAUGGCCUCGAUCAACUGGAUGUUCGUGGAGGGCCUGUUCCUUCACUCCCGCCUCACCUCCAAUGUGUUCCACUCUAAGGCGCCCUUCCCUCUCUACUACACCAUCGGCUGGGGUGCACCUCUUGCAUUCAUCGUGGCCUGGGCGACAACCAUGGCCCUCCAGCACCCGGCCCAUUGCUGGCGAGGCUACAGCACCCUGUCCUAUGUGUGGAUCCUGGUGGGGCCCAUGGUGGCCGCCCUCAUGGUCAACUUGGUAUUCCUGGUGAACAUCAUAAGGAUCUUGGUGACAAAGCUUCGUGCAAAUGACACCCUUGAGACGGAAAAAAUAAGCACACGAGGACACACUCCACACCACCAGGGCCCUAAAACUACCAGGGUCCAUCACAGGUUCAAGAGAGAGCCAUCUCAGUAUCACCAUACACUGAGGCAGCAGCAUCUGCCUAAUAAUAACAGUCUCCAGCAGGAGCAGAAGCACACUGUCCCUGAGGAAGGUGGACUCCACAGGAACAGAUCAUGUCACACUAGAAAUGACAGUGGCUGGCACCACAAUAGCCUCACCAAAGAAGUGGAGUCCACCACUCACAACAGAGAGAGCAGUCCUCUCCUUCGCCAGGAUUCCCCACACAAGCAAGCAGCAAAACAGGACCAAGGCAGCCACCUCCCCCGCAGACAAUUCACGGGGAGUCGCCGCUCCCUCCACACCAACAGCUUGCAGCACUACUCAUCAGUCGGUUAUGCUGCUAAUCGUCCUGAGUUUAACACAAGAAAAGCAAUUCGGGCGACAGUGAUACUCUUCCCUCUGCUGGGCAUCACCAACCUGCUCUUUGCUGUCAACCCGGGCGGCAAGGGCGACCUGGAGAAUGCCUAUAUGCUGACCAAUGCCAUCCUGCAGUCCUCACAGGGCCUGUUUGUCUCUGUGUUCUACUGCUUCCUGAACACUGAGGUGCAGGAGCUGCUACGGAAGCGGUGGCGUCAGUACCGCACCCGCCAGCGGGACCGGCCCACGGGCGCACUGCGGGCCAGCACACGAUGCACACUGCUGCAGGAACAAGCUCCUUCCCGCCAGCAGACCCCCAGCCCACACCUCCAGCCCAAGGCCACCUGCAUUCAGGGCCUCACCAACCCUGCCCUGGAGACCUCCGUGGUGUGACGACAGACAGCACCAGUCGUGUGUAGGUCCUGGCUGAGGUGUGGUGCUGCUGCUGUCCUCUUUACCAUGAUGUCCUUGGCCUCAGAUCCCAUUCUUUGUCUGCUUCAUUGAAUCUUUGGACAGUAAAUCUUUAAUGUUGACUCAAAAUUGAGUCAAAAGAGUGGCAAAAACAACACAGAAAUACCCAUACUUGCAGACCACCUGACUAGCUUCCCUCGACAACCUUCCUUUGCCCACUCUCACCAAGGAACCUGAAGUAUUCUACGAGAUAAACUUGCUGCUAAGUAUCAGGAUUCUGUUCAGUAACCGAGGACACUUGAGCUAUGCCACAAUGGAACUCCACCACCACCAUCACCAUCACCACCCUGAAGGUUCUAGGUCUUCAAGGGAAAGUUUCUUCUUUAUUUAAGGUAUAUAUAUUUUUGUUGAUGUUUCUUUUUAAGUUUUCAUGAUAAGUUUGGAUUUUGUUGCAUUUGUAUUGUUAUCCAGUCUCAUCUGUCAGUUUUAAGAUUUCUACGUUUCUUUUAUCAGUGUUUUCAGGCUUUCAGUAUCAGUUUAUUUUUUUCUCACCAUUCAUAUUUUUAUUUUUUGUUACUCUUCAGUUUUAGUGUUCUUUUAUUAUUUUUAUUAUUAUUAUUAUUAUUAUUAUUAUUAUUAUUAUUAUUAUUAUUAUUAUUAUUGGUGUGAUUAAUACUGGCAGAGCAGAGGUCUUGUGGGACCCUGCAUCUGUGGACUUCAGGCAGCCAUCUGUGAGGUGAAAAUACAGAGCUUAAUUUGAAUUGAAAAGCAGUAGACAUAUGAGAAACCUUUAGCAAGGAUAAAUAAAAUUACAAUGUUUUCCAAAGCAUUUAUGAAGCAAAGCAAGAUUGCAUGUGUGAUGACAUAUGUUUCUUAUGUUUAAUAGGAAAAUAUUAGCAUAUAAUAGUACUUCAGAUUUUAUUAGCAUACAGGUUUUGAAAUCAAAGCUCAAAAAACAGUAAACUGAAUCAUUAUAUAUAUAUGUAUAUAUAUAUAUAUAUAUAUAUAUAUAUAUAUAUAUAUAUAUAUAUAUAUAUAUAUAUAUAUAUAUAUAUAUAUAUAUAUAUAUAUAUAUAUAUAUAUUAUUUCUUGAAAAUUAGAAAGCCCUUUUUUUUUUUUGUCAUUCAUGACGGGGUUUCUGUCCUUGCCGAAAUGUUAAGGAGGGCAGAGGUUGUAAAGAAACAGCCAGUAGUUGAAAUGCUCAUUGUACAGUAAAGCUCAGGUCAAGCAGGACCAUGACUGAGAACUUCCACGUCUUUGUAUAAAACUUUUGUAAAACACGUCAACGUUAGGACAAACAUUU